CGGAGUGUAGCGCAGUCUGGUAGCGCAUCUGCUUUGGGAGCAGAGGGCCGGGAGUUCGAAUCUCUCCACUCCGACCA
rnacentral:tRNA from 1 species